rnacentral:rRNA from 1 species
UACGAAGGGGGCUAGCGUUGUUCGGAUUUACUGGGCGUAAAGCGCACGUAGGCGGUUUGUUAAGUCAGAGGUGAAAUCCUGGAGCUCAACUCCAGAACUGCCUUUGAUACUGGCAAGCUCGAGUCCGGAAGAGGUAAGUGGAACUCUCAGUGUAGAGGUGGAAUUCGUAGAUAUAGGAAGAACACAGUGCGAAGGCGGCUUACUGGUCCGGAACUGACGCUGAGGUGCGAAAGCGUGGGGAGCAAACAGG